rnacentral:snoRNA from 1 species
UUGCCCACCUUGGACUGAUGAUGUUCUUGGUGCCUAACACAGGGGGGCAGAGUAGCUCUCUCAUAAACCUGUAGUGAAGGCUCAAAUCCUCGCUGCGGAUCCUGUCGGGAGAAACAAUU